rnacentral:other from 1 species
UAGACUCUGCCUUGUGCGUGUUUACUUAAACUAGUUUGAGCCAGCACUGUAUUCUAGGGAACCGGACUCUGGUUGUAGCGUGAAUGCUCCUUACGGGGACUCAUAAAGCAAGCAGGAGGUACCCACCUGUGAGAACAGGGUUCAAACUUAGUGGUUAGCACGGCAGGGCGGAGUUUUU